rnacentral:piRNA from 1 species
GACAGCCGAAAUGCCAGAAAAUUGUGUGGA